AACGAACGCUGGCGGCAUGCCUAACACAUGCAAGUCGAACGAAGUCUUCGGACUUAGUGGCGCACGGGUGCGUAACGCGUGGGAAUCUGCCCUUGGGUGCGGAAUAACUUCUCGAAAGGGAUGCUAAUACCGCAUAAUGUCGUAAGACCAAAGAUUUAUCGCCCAAGGAUGAGCCCGCGUAAGAUUAGCUAGUUGGUGGGGUAAAAGCCUACCAAGGCGACGAUCUUUAGCUGGUCUGAGAGGAUGAUCAGCCACACUGGGACUGAGACACGGCCCAGACUCCUACGGGAGGCAGCAGUGGGGAAUAUUGGACAAUGGGCGAAAGCCUGAUCCAGCAAUGCCGCGUGAGUGAUGAAGGCCCUAGGGUUGUAAAGCUCUUUUACCAGGGAUGAUAAUGACAGUACCUGGAGAAUAAGCCCCGGCUAACUCCGUGCCAGCAGCCGCGGU
rnacentral:rRNA from 1 species